ensembl:lncRNA
CCUAAAAAUAGAGCGUUGGCGAUUUCCCUCAAAGUGAGACGUCACGGCGCUUCUGGAUUCUGGGGGAAAAAAAGAGGAAGCAUCUGAAAAGGUGGCUGGGAUCGGGAGGAAAAUGCAUCGCCUCCACGGCAUGGGAGACUACCAGAUCAGAGACUGAAAGACUGAGAGAUCACGCCUUGAGUCCGCCUUGUGAUGCAGUCUCUAUGGCGACUACAGUUUCCUGGGAAACAACCUGGAUGUCUGUUCACUGGAAUUCUGGAGUUUGCUGACAACGGAUAUUAGGCUAAUAUGAAUGAAGACAACAGGAUUUAGAAGGCUUCGAGGGAGAUCCACGCAGUGCCUAGGACUGACGACCAAUAGAAACGGAGGCCGUUAACCUUUCUGCUACCAAAACUGAACUGAACUCACCUUCAAACGACAAAGAAGAAGCCCGCAUAUCUCUACUGCCAAUUACCAUUUACGUCUGACUGAAUCACCGUGAACUGCAACACUCCAGAAGUGGCCUUUUUUGGGGGAAUUCUGCAGGUUCACAUUUAAUACAAAGAAAGCAAUAUGAAGAGAACUGAACUGUUGAACUGUUGGACAUGAACUGUUGGAUCAUCUAAGAGACCACUGCCAGAUAUUAAUCAAGCUGUUUUCUGGUGUCCAUCAUGUAUUUACAGUUUAGCUGUUGUUGUGCCAGAUGUGAGAACUAUGUGGAAACUAAAUCUUUCUUGCUCUUUGACCAUAUAAAUAGUCGGAAAGAUAUUUUGUCUCAUAUUGCCUAUUUAAUCGAAUGAUGGAAUCACCAUUCUGAAGUACUUCACUCCAUAUAUUCUCUCUUAAGACACUUAAGAAACUGUGUGAAUGUCACUGCA